CCUACGGGACGCAGCAGUGGGGAAUAUUGCACAAUGGGCGCAAGCCUGAUGCAGCCAUGCCGCGUGUAUGAAGAAGGCCUUCGGGUUGUAAAGUACUUUCAGCGGGGAGGAAGGUGUUGUGGUCAAUAACCACAGCAAUUGACGUUACCCGCAGAAGAAGCACCGGCUAAGUCCGUGCCAGCAGCCGCGGUAAUACGGAGGGUGCAAGCGUUAAUCGGAAUUACUGGGCGUAAAGCGCACGCAGGCGGUCUGUCAAGUCGGAUGUGAAAUCCCCGGGCUCAACCUGGGAACUGCAUUCGAAACUGGCAGGCUAGAGUCUUGUAGAGGGGGGUAGAAUUCCAGGUGUAGUGGUGAAAUGCGUAGAGAUCUGGAGGAAUACCGGUGGCGAAGGCGGCCCCCUGGACAAAGACUGGCGCUCAGGUGCGAAAGCGUGGGGAGCAAACAGGAUUAGAUACCCUAGUAGUC
rnacentral:rRNA from 1 species